ACUCCUACGGGAGGCAGCAGUAAGGAAUAUUGGUCAAUGGACGCAAGUCUGAACCAGCCAUGCCGCGUGGAGGAUGAAGGUCCUCUGGAUUGUAAACUUCUUUUAUCUGGGAAGAAACCCACAAUUUCCAUUGUGGUUGACGGUACCAGAUGAAUAAGCACCGGCUAACUCCGUGCCAGCAGCCGCGGUAAU
rnacentral:rRNA from 1 species